rnacentral:rRNA from 1 species
UACGUAGGGGGCAAGCGUUGUCCGGAAUCAUUGGGCGUAAAGAGCGUGUAGGCGGUUUGGUAGGUCCGCUGUGAAAACUCGAGGCUCAACUUCGAGCUGUCGGUGGAAACUUUCUGGCUAGAGUCCGGAAGAGGAGAAUGGAAUUCCUGGUGUAGCGGUGAAAUGCGCAGAUAUCAGGAAGAACACCCGUGGCGAAGGCGGUUCUCUGGGACGGUACUGACGCUGAGACGCGAAAGCGUGGGGAGCGAACAGG